GACGAACGCUGGCGGCGUGCUUAACACAUGCAAGUCGAACGGAAAGGCCCUGCUUUUGUGGGGUGCUCGAGUGGCGAACGGGUGAGUAACACGUGAGUAACCUGCCCUUGACUUUGGGAUAACUUCAGGAAACUGGAGCUAAUACCGGAUAGGAGCUCCUGCUGCAUGGUGGGGGUUGGAAAGUUUCGGCGGUUGGGGAUGGACUCGCGGCUUAUCAGCUUGUUGGUGGGGUAGUGGCUUACCAAGGCUUUGACGGGUAGCCGGCCUGAGAGGGUGACCGGCCACAUUGGGACUGAGAUACGGCCCAGACUCCUACGGGAGGCAGCAGUGGGGAAUAUUGCACAAUGGGCGGAAGCCUGAUGCAGCAACGCCGCGUGCGGGAUGACGGCCUUCGGGUUGUAAACCGCUUUCGCCUGUGACGAAGCGUGAGCGACGGUAAUGGGUAAAGAAGCACCGGCUAACUACGUG
rnacentral:rRNA from 1 species